rnacentral:rRNA from 1 species
UUGGAGGGCAAGUCUGGUGCCAGCAGCCGCGGUAAUUCCAGCUCCAAUAGCGUAUAUUAAAGUUGUUGCAGUUAAAAAGCUCGUAGUUGAAUUUCGGGGUUCUACCGUCGGUCGGGCUACCAAGUCUGUACUGGUGUGUAGAAUUUCUACCUUCUGGGGAACCAUCAUGUUAUUAAUUUAGCGUGGUGGGAAACCAGGACCUUUACCUUGAAAAAAUUAGAGUGUUCAAAGCAGGCUUAUGUCUGAAUACAUUAGCAUGGAAUAAUAGAAUAGGACGGUGGUCCUGUUUUGUUGGUUUCUGAAUCACCGUAAUGAUUAAUAGGGAUAGUUGGGGGCAUUAGUAUUCAAUUGUCAGAGGUGAAAUUCUUGGAUUUAUUGAAGACUAACUUCUGCGAAAGCAUUUGCCAAGGAUGUUUUCAUUAAUCAAGAACGAAAGUUAGGGGAUCGAAGACGAUCAGAUACCGUCGUAGUCUUAACCAUAAACUAUGCCGACUAGGGAUCGGACGAUGUUAAAUUUUAUUGACUCGUUCGGCGCCUUACAGGAAACCAAAGUGUUUGGGUUC